CUUGUUCCAGUAUGGCACAUUUCAUGGACAUUGCAGAAGUUUUUUGGAGCCAGCAAUUGUUCACAUGUGGAAAAGUGAGCAGCAAAACAUGAUAUCAAAGUUAAAAGAGGAAGGAAAGACUGCUAUGGCUGGAGAUAUGCGUGCAGACUCACCUGGCCAUUCAGCUAAAUAUGGAAGCUACACAGUAAUGGACAUGCAGAGUAAUACAAUUGUGGACUAGAACUAGCUAGUUCAGAGCAAUAAGGUUGGAGGUAGCUACCAUAUGGAAAAAGAUGGGCUGAAGAGAUGUCUGGAUCUACUGAAGAACAACGGGUUAGAGGUGGAUUACAUCGUCACUGACUGUCAUCCACAGAUCCAGAAGUAUCGCAGGCAGCGCAAGAUAACCCAGUUCUAUGAUGACCAGAGAAGGUUGCUAAGUGGACUUUGCUGAUUUACCACCUCCAGAAUGUGCACACACAUGACAAUGCUAUAUUUCCCAAGUGUGCUCAUCCACUUAGAGCAUCAAAGGACCAAAAGAAAUGGUUUUAACCAGGGUCACAGUCUAUCUACAAAAUUGAAAAAGUCCUAUGCAACAAGAGGGUGCUGAUAGAUGUGGCGAAGUUGAGUCAUCAAUAUCAGACAUCUUCACUUGAGGCUUUCCACAGCCUUAUUCUACGUUUCACACCAAAAAUGUUGUGUUCCCUUUCAUGGGAAUGCUGUGCAGAUUGUACCUUGCUGUGUUUCAUCACAAUGAAAAUGCAAGCCGAAAACAAGCCACAACAGCAGCACGACAACCAGUGUACAAAAUGGUGUUGCCAAAAUCCAAAAGAGGGGAAUGAAUAACACUGGCAUUAAAAACAGACCCAACCUAUAAAUAUGUUGAGAAGUUACUGAAACUGGUCUUUGAAGUCAUCAUUAUGGACCCCUCUCCAUUUGUGGAUGAAAUAAAGGCCAUUCCCAAGCCCCUUUGUGCAGAAUGUGACAGACCAACAAAGAAAGAAGUCAUUGCCCAUCAUGUGUCAUGGUUCAAUCAAGAGCAGGUCGGAAGCCAACGUACCGACCAACGUGCCGUAUCCGGGUUACAACACAGGACGGAAUCACAACACGAACACUCAGACCUAAGUAGACCCAGCACCAGCUGACAAAACUGCGGUACGCCAGGUAGCGGAACUGCCUAAAAAAUAAAAACUUUUUUUUGUGUCGGUGUGACAUUAUUUUGUGAACAAAGAUUGUUUGAGUUACAUAUCUGAUUCAAAUGUCAUCAUUUACAUGUUCUGUUUGUCUCAUAUUAA